rnacentral:lncRNA from 1 species
AGACCAUGAAGGGGCUGCUGCUGUAGUGUGCAUGGCUGGAGUGUUCUGCCUGGUGCAAGGUGAAGGUUGGCAUGAACUCCUGAAAACCACUCCUGAGAAAGUGAAGCUGCCUACUUCAUUGAUCAAGAUGUAUCAGAAGUUUGCAGGCAGACAGCCAUUGUGUGCUGGGAGGAGAGCAGAGGAUCCAGGGAGCAGACUGCAGGGAGUUUGGCUGAAGCAAGAUGACCCCAAUGCUGGAGAAGAGCCCUCAAGAUGGAACAGCCUCCUUUGGUGGGAAGAAGUUCACAAGCUGAAGUUGGAGCUGAAGGUGUAAACUGAUCUUCC